UACGGAGGGUGCAAGCGUUAAUCGGAAUUACUGGACGUAAAGCGCGCGUAGGCGGCCAAGUAAGCCGGUUGUGAAAGCCCCGGGCUCAACCUGGGAACGGCAUCCGGAACUGUCAAGCUAGAGUGCAGGAGAGGAAGGUAGAAUUCCCGGUGUAGCGGUGAAAUGCGUAGAGAUCGGGAGGAAUACCAGUGGCGAAGGCGGCCUUCUGGUCUGACACUGACGCUGAGGUGCGAAAGCGUGGGUAGCGAACAGG
rnacentral:misc_RNA from 1 species